AUGACAGUUGAUAUACAAUAAAUAGAAGAUUGCCUAUUUUUUUAAUUCUGCAGAGGUUCAUUCUUAUUAUUUACUCAACCUCACGCAACAAAAUGGCCAGAAGAUUAGUUCAAACCUUAGUGAUUUUAAACGGACAAUAAAGUAAGAUGUAUUAUAAAUAAGUUUAAAACUAUCAAGAUUAGUUUAUGCUUAUUUUUCUAUAUCACCAAAAUUACCUUAGCAAAAAUUAAAGAAUAAGCAACUUCUAAAAUUGACACAAUAUGUCAAAGGCUUAAAACUUCUGGUACGGGGAGCGUAAAAAAUUUUACGUGAGAUACUAAAAAUAUCUAAAUAUAAUCUAAACCAAUCCAAACAAAUAUGGUUAGUUUUGUUGAGAAGAUUUUUUUUUUAAUGUGACGAAGUGGCAUAUUGUCAAUACAAAUAAGGGAGACAGAAUCAUCGCUGUUUUUCUCUUUUUUGUAUCAAAACCAGCUGAUUAAAGGCAAAAUCAAUGAAAAAAUGAUUUGUCUUUCGAUGUAUGCUCUUGUCGCAUCAGCCGCUUUAUUGGCCUGCGUUCCCGUCUGUCUUAAACAAUUAGAAAUUCAGAAAUUUUACAAGUGCCUAAAACGAGGUGGUAAAAAGUGAUACCAAAAGUAUGCCAAUUUGUUUGACCUUCUGCACUGCUGUUAUAGCGGCCAGUAUAAUUUCCUGUUGUCCAGUAUUCUUAGAUCAUUAUUUACAGGAGUUGAGAGCGAAAAAAGCGAAAACAGCAGCCAAAAAAACAUCACGCACAUCGUGUAAUGUUCCCUGUUGUCCCCGGAAAUCAAAAUCAAAUUGAGUGACCUGUGUUUUUACAAUAUCAGUAAAUAAUAAAAAAUAAAGAGAA